AAUUUUUCCACUUGUGAAGAGCACUACAAAAUAUAUAACAAAAUCUAAAAGGCCUACUGUCUUUAAGUACACCGCUUGCAGUGUUUCCGUGAACAUUUUCACAAUUCUGGCCGCUUGGACUUCACAGUAACCAGUUAAAACUGUGGAAUAUCACUUCUGGUGAAAACCCAGAGGAAAGGCCCUGCUGUUUUCCACCUACCACGUUGUCUGAUUUCAUAAAAGUGCUGUAGGGGUGGGAGGGGGCAGUGGGGUCAGUGGUGUGGGAAAGGGGAAUGGCAAGCUUCUCCCCUAGAUUCUGCCUGCCUCCACACACCCUGGCUCACCUCCUCCACAUCCCCCCUUUUCAGCAGAAGCCAGAAAGACUUGGACAAGCAACAAGCAACAGUGGCUAUCGUAUUUAUUCAGUGUCUUCGCUGGGCCACAGCCUCAGCACAAUCAAGAGGGACUUUCAUGAAAGGCAGGAAUGCAGAUAAAACAAAGAUAUCAGAGAUUUGCACCUAUGUUUCUAGAGAAAAAAGCUAUUUAUGAAAUGUCAAAAACACUGGACUGUGAGUUUAAGUGUGGAAGCAUUUACCACCCUGUGUCUUCAACCAAUUAUGGGAAACCCCUUUUCUCUCCCCCUCUCCGCCGCCUUAGCCUUGCCAAAUGAGAAAACUAUAACAGCUCUCAGAUGAUUGAAGCCACCGAAGCUCUGCUUUAAUUCUUACGGUUUGAAAAAGUUGGAAAACCAAAGUUAAAUUUGUUUCUGAAAUCCCGCUGUCCAUAGCCCUUUUUUUGUAUGACACAGCCAGUUGGUGCUGCCUCUCCAUCUGGGAUUAUUGCCUUCUUAGGGACUGGGGCCAGGUCUGAUGCAAAGAGAGACAUGAGAGUGGUGAAGCUGAGAGCUGAGGUCUCAGGAAGUAACAUGUGAGUGGGACUCCAGCCUCUCAGGGGCAACCACAUUUCCCCAUCCCGAGGAGAAGCUGCCAAGAGAGCACAGUGCUACUAAAGCCUGACAGGAGCCAGCCUAUGUCUGGUCUCCUUCACCUUCUGCUUCUAAGACUCUUCUGUUACCAUGGCUCUCUAGAAUGGCUCUGCCUUUCUCAGCAGCCCACAUUCCUUGGAUGGGAGUGGGGCAAGGAUCCAAAUGACAGAAUGGCUGUGGGUGCUGUGGAGGCACCCCCAGCUCCCAGGGAGGUGAGGCAAGGGACCACUCAGCACAAGGGAUCUUGACCACCUCCUCUGAUUCAAUGGAUUAUCCAUCCAUCUGCUCACUGUGAAGAGGGAGAGGCAGUGUGCACCAAGGCUAUUCAAUAGCUUUUCCAUAUUUUUUCAACAAUGAAAAAAUAAUUUUUCAAAACUGUGAUAUUUUUUAAAAAAUCAUUUGGCUGGAGGGAAGGGAAAAGGGAAACACCAAAAGCUGUAACAUGAUUAACUGGAGAUAUGUAACUGGGGCACUUUCUAGACCAAGACAAAUGAAUUCCUUUCUGGACCUAAAGCAGCCAAAUCUUGAGACUGUCAAUGACAGAAAGCUGAAGAGAGGCUUCCAUUUCCUCCUUUCUCCUUUCUUCUCUCUGUCUCAAAAUUCUCUUGUCUCAAACUUCUUGUCUUCAAAAUUCUCCUUUCCAGGUUCCCUUGAUCUACUGCCCCAUUGGCCCUCAGCCUCCCACUUCAUCUGUACAACUACACACACACACACACACACACACACACACGCAAAAUACCAUUAUUUUAAGGAUUAUGGGACAGAAUAAAAUCAUGUGCCUUCAUUUUUUCUUUUUAUGGUUAGAUGAACCUCUUCCUUUUCACAAUGUUUAUUUUUUUAAAAGAUAGGAGAGGUUGAAGUGUUAGUGGAGGAGCUGGGCAUCAUCUGAGAAGUCAUGUUUGUUUAGCACAUUCCCCCUAAACAUUAAACACAAGCAUGUUAACCCCUUCACAAAACUAUCCGGACAUUUAGAGCAUCAAGUAACCAGAUACUGGACAGCCUAAAUCCAUUUGACUUUAGAGCAGUUCCUGAAAUUUCCAUUUCAUAGGCUUCUUUGAUUUUAUCAAAAUGAGGCGAGCAAGGGCAAGCUGCCUUGUUCUCCUGAUCUGGUGCUUUUGCUUGUAGUGGG
ensembl:lncRNA